rnacentral:rRNA from 1 species
CACUGGGUGGAUGAGUGGCGAACGGGUGAGUAAUACGUGAGUAACCUGCCCUUGACUCUGGGAUAAGCCUGGGAAACUGGGUCUAAUACUGGAUAUGACCUCCUGUCGCAUGGUGGGGGGUGGAAAGGGUUUGUACUGGUUGUGGAUGGGCUCACGGCCUAUCAGCUUGUUGGUGGGGUAAUGGCCUACCAAGGCGACGACGGGUAGCCGGCCUGAGAGGGUGACCGGCCACACUGGGACUGAGACACGGCCCAGACUCCUACGGGAGGCAGCAGUGGGGAAUAUUGCACAAUGGGCGCAAGCCUGAUGCAGCGACGCCGCGUGAGGGAUGACGGCCUUCGGGUUGUAAACCUCUUUCAGCACGGAAGAAGCGAAAGUGACGGUACGUGCAGAAGAAGCGCCGGCUAACUACGUGCCAGCA